CAGUGAUUCAGUGAGAAAUUAUACCAACAUGGGUUACAGUCAAUAUGGCGAUGAUGUGUCUAGUGUUCAUCAUUAACAACCUGUUGUUGUUGUGAGAACAUUUAAUCAUCCAGGAAAGUCGUACUCUUACAGACAAAGGAGAUCGUUGCCAACAAACCACUCAAGACCAAACUACAAAAAAUCUUUUAAAUCUUCGACGACUCGCAGACGAAAACCUUUACCAUCUGCCUGGACAAUAAACCUUCGAGAUUUGCCGUCAAGACAUGAAAAUUAUGAAGAUGUUCACUCUUAUUACUUACCACCGAGAAGAAAAGCAAAAUAUCAAGGCUCAACUCGUACACAAGACUACAUGAAUCACGAAAUGAAAGUUUGUUAAUGCUAAAAGUCAUGGUUCUGGUAAUAGUAAAAGAUACAUUGUUGAAAACCGUCUUAAACUAUCCCAUGCUAAAAAGGCUAAAACCUCGACUUAUUACAAAAUUUCUGGUCGAUCACAACUCAGCUCACAUUCGGAUGCGUCAGAAGUAGAUUAUAAAUCAUCGCCUGUCCUUCAAGACCAAAUUAAGGAUCAAAAUUUUCAAGCAAUUUAUUCCGACAAAAAGUGGAAGAGAAAUGAAGACCAACUGAGCUAUGAAGUCACACUGUGGUGAGCAGGUCAAUUUUGUUGGGUUCAUGUUUACUCGUGAAAGGAAUGUCAUUUUGAAGGGAUGUUCUUCAUAGCUCAGUUGGUCAGAGCACUGCACCGGCACCGCAGAGGUCAUGGGUUCGAAUCUCGUCGAGUCACCUGAAUUUUUCAGGUUCAUGAGACAAUUGCUUAAAUUGUCCAGCAAAGUGCAAAGAUCAUAUCUACAUUUAAUUUCAAACACCGCACUGCAUAAAACAUCCUUACAGUUUUCUGAAUUCUUACCCACUCCUCCAAGGCCAAACGACAGCCAAUCAGAUAUCUCUACGGAUGGAUAUUCCCGUGGUAGUUAUAAAUCAUUUAAAAACAAACUUGAAAGAAACGUUAAAGAAAACAGGGAGGUUGUUGUUGAAGACAGAAGUCAAUCAGAUCAAGAAAAACAUAAUGAAUCAUUUGAAGAAACUUUAGAGCGUUUACGAAAUGGUGAGACG